rnacentral:rRNA from 1 species
GACGAACGCUGGCGGCGUGCCUAACACAUGCAAGUCGAACGAAGCUUGACGAACGAUUCUUCGGAUGAAUUCUGAUAUGACUGAGUGGCGGACGGGUGAGUAACGCGUGAGCAACCUGCCCUUCAGAGGGGGAUAGUGUCUGGAAACGGACAGUAAUACCGCAUAAGCGCACAGCAUCGCAUGAUGCAGUGUGAAAAACUCCGGUGGUAUAAGAUGGACCCGCGUUGGAUUAGCUAGUUGGUGAGGUAACGGCCCACCAAGGCGACGAUCAGUAGCCGACCUGAGAGGGUGACCGGCCACAUUGGGACUGAGACACGGCCCAAAAUCCUACGGGAGGCAGCAGUGGGGAAUAUUGCACAAUGGGGGAAACCCUGAUGCAGCGACGCCGCGUGAGCGAAGAAGUAUUUCGGAUGUAAAGCUCUAUCAGCAGGGAAGAAAAUGACGGUACCUGACUAAGAAGCACCGGCUAAAUACGUGCCAG